UCUUUCUCAGGUUCUCACACUAUAUAAAAGACACAUACACAACAAAAGAGAGGGGGAAGAAGAAAUAUAGAGCACCAAAGAAGAAUAGAGUAGAAGCCCCAAAAUCCUCUUCUUCCCCCAUUGCAAUCCGCUGAAACCAACCAAGAAAACACCUAUGUUUCUCACACCAAAACCAGCUCCUUUCUUCACCUAAACAUCACCCAAAAGCUAACAUGUAGCUACCACAAAAAUCAGCUCAAACACAAUCCUAAAAUUAGCAACAAUGAGCUGAAAAAUAGUCACGAAAAUCAGCCAAAAACCAGCUCUCCUCACCUUAAAACAAUCCCAAAGAAAAUAGUUAAAACCACCUUUGAACUUCAGCAAAAUCCAGCCAAAAAAUCCACCAAAAAUAGCCAGUAAACGCUGCUAAACCAAUAGCAAAACGACCCAGAAACAACAGCUCAAACCACUAUCAUUUGAGCCGAACAACCGUCAAAACAACCCAUGUUUCAUACCACAAAUUCCACCUCACAAUAACCAUGAAACCUCAGCCUUAAACAUCCUGCAAAAACCAGUGGAAACAAUUCAUUACAACCCCAUUUUUUGGACUUAAAAUUGUGCCAAAAGUGGAUAUUCGAGCUUGCCGUUGAGGUCUCGAGUGGAUGGUUCCGUCCGAGGUCAUAGGCAAAUUUUCGGUUCAAGAGUUGCAUAAAUCUUCAAGUUGAUGUAGUCUAAGAUGAAAGCUAAUAAAAAAUCCAAUUUUUAUCCCCUUUCUCAAUAGUAUGUUUGCUCUAGUUGCUCUUUGUCAAAUGCUCUGUUUGUUCCUAUGUUCAGAUAAAUAUUUCUUGUUUCGAUUUAUUUAAUUGAUCUGGUAUAUUGAGGCCUCGUUUACAUUAAUAACAUAAAAUUUAGUAGGUAAUCUCUUUAGUUUGAUUAUGUUUAUGAGUUGAAUGCUAAGUAGGCUACCGUUUGAUUUUGCACAUCAAAAUGGACCAUUAGCUAAGAAUAAAUGGGGACGUGAGGUUCAUUUUCAAAGAUCAUAAAUGGGCCAUUUGUUGGGUUUUAUAGAUAAAAUAAUAAUUUUGUGGCUAAAUAAGUUUAGUAUGCUAGAUCCAUUAACCUCAUAUAACUGCCCUCUUAUUAUUCCUUAAAUAAUCUAAACAAUUCAUGAAUAUGCGUAAAAUGCUUUAGGCGCACUUUAAUCCAUUAUCGUGAUUAUGUAUACGUUCGUGUGACAUAAAUAUGAUCCCAAAAAGUAAAUCAAGGUACGCGUUGACACGACUUUGGCCAAACAAUCUUAAUAAAUGAUAAAGUAUUAUUAAUUGUGUACAUGUAUGCGUGACAUAAUUUUUAGCACACUAAGUUAAACAGAUUCACGCAGGUGAUUCGUUUCAAGAUAAUCCCAAAAUGCCAUAAUCAAGUAACUAAAAAGAGGUAAAAGGUAAAAUAUACAUACAAUCUGAAUUAUGUAAUAAUCAAUUAAUUAAGCCAUGUUAUGAUUAUGAAGUGACCGUGCUAGAACCAUGGAACUCGGAAAUGGCUAACACCUUCUCCCGGGUUAACAAAACACCUUGCUCGAUCUUCUGUGUUUCGCAUACUUUAAACAGAGUCAAAACUUUCUUGAUUUGAGAUUUAAAAUAAAUGGUGAUUUGGGACACUUUAAAUAAUUAUUCCAUGUGGCGACUCUUCUAAAUAAAUAAAAUAAUCUCAUUUCCUUAAUAUUACUUAAAUUGGAAAAAUUGCUUUUCCUAAAAAAAGGAGAUGUGACAGUUGUGAGGUUGGAUUACGCCCUCGGCGUCCUCGUCGCUAAAUGAGAUGGAUCCCUCUGGAAUAUAACCUCGAGUUCAUUUUUCUUUUGUGAUAAAAAAUUUGGUGAGUUCUAUCAUUGUCCCUUAUGGAACAUCUACCCUUCCAUUCAUCAUGUUAAUCACACGUUGAGGUUUUUCUUGCUUGAUUUGUUUGUUGGUGUCCCUAAUAUUUAAAUGGUUUUUGGACUGUUCACUUAUCAAUUCCCGAAGAUGCCCAAAGUUGAACAGACGAGUCAUUUGUCUGUGAUAUCUUGUAAGUUUCCCCGAAUAACACAUUUUUGAUGUCCAAGAAUGAAGUUCCAAACUCUAAUUAAAAAAAUGUGAUAACCCGGCUAGUCGUCUCGUGAGUUACCGCUCUGUUUUUCCCAUUUUUGCUUCUUAUUGCUUUGUCUAUUGGUUCUAUAUCUGAUCGGGUUGGUUGACUCGGGUUCAGAAAGGAUUUGAUAAGGUUUGAGACACUUAGUCUCUUUUGAGGAUGCUUGAGUUGGAAAAAGUCAACCGGAUGUUGACUUAUAUGUUAGACGGCUCGGACGUGAGUUCUGAUGUUUCGGAUAGCUUUGGGAGGUGAUUUGGGACUUAGGAGCGUGAUGAAAUGUGUUUUGGAUGUCCGAAGUAGAUUUAGGCUUGAAUUGGCGAAACUGAAUUUUUGGCGUUUUCCGGUUGAUAGAUGAGAUUUUGAUAUAGGGGUUGGAAUUGAAUUCCAAGAGUUGCAGUAGUUCCGUUGUGUCAUUUGGGAUGUGUGUGCGAAAUUUCAGGUCAUUCGGAUGUGGUUUGGUUGGUUUUUUUUUAUCAAAAGCAGAACUCGAAAGAUUUUUGGAAACUAAGGCUUGAAUCCGAUGUGUUUUGGUUGAUUCGAUGUUGUUUGAGGUGUUUUGAAGGUUGGUAUAAGUUUGAAUAAGUUUAUGGGGUAUGUUUAUGUUUUUGGUUAAGGUCCCGGGGCCUCGGGGUGAUUUCGAAUGGUUGACGGAGAAGUUUUGAAUUUUGGUGAAGCUGCAGAUUUGCAGCUUCUGUUUUUCCGCACCUGCGGAUUGGGGACCGCAAGUGCGACGCCGCAGAUGCGGAGAAUUGGUCACAGAAGUGGAGAUAGGAUAGAAAGGCUAUGAAAGCAAAAGCAGUUGGUGAACCACACUUGCGAUGUCACAGGUGCGGCUUGUGCAUCACAGAUGCGGAAAGUGGGACUUAAGUGACGACCGCAGAUGUGGUGGUCUUGACCGCAGAUGCGGGAAUUGGGCCGCAGAUGCGAAAUCCCUAGGCCAGAACAUAUAAAUUAUUUCCUUCACAAUUUUUGAGCUAUUCCACCAUUUUUAAGUCGGCUUUUGGAGCUUUUUUGGACGAUUUUGAAGAAGGAUUUCAAGGGAACUUCAUUGCGGUAAGGAUUUUGGACCUAAAACUCGUUCCUAUAAUAUUAUUUCGCGGAUUAGAGCUAUAAUUAAUGGAAUUUAAGGGUUAAAAUUGGGGAAACUAGGGCUUGGUAUUGGAUACCAAGACUUGAGGAUUUGAGGGACCAUUUGUGGUCGGAUUUUGGUACUUUUGAUAUGUAUGAACUCGUGGGGAGAUGGGGAAUCUAUUAAUGUGAAUUUUAUCGAAUUAUGAGACGUGGGCCCGGGGGUUGGGUGUUGGUAAUUUCGGGAUUUAAGUUGUAAAUUGAUUAUUUUCGCUUAGGCUUCGUUCCCUUAGUAUAUUUUGACGUCGUGAUUCUGAUUUUGGAUAGAUUCAACACGAGUGAAGGCUGAUUUGAGGGGAAGAGGCAUCGCGGGCUAGAGAUUUAACCGUAUUGAGGUGAGUAAUGAUUGUAAAUGAUAUCCUAAGGGUAUGAAACCCCGAAUUGUACAUCGUUGUGCUAUAUUGAGGUGACUCACACGCUUGAUGACGAACGUGGAGUCGUGCACUGUUGGGGAUUGUGACUUAAUCCAUCCCGAAUGACUAUUUUACCGUGUAUUUGAUUGAAAUCUAUUUGUGAACACCAUGUUUUGGGAUGAAUGCCAUAUUUGGGUCUCGUGCCAACUAUUUGAACCCUUAGGGGAUUUUAUUGAUAUUACCUCACUGUUUUGACUUUAUACUUGAACUCAGUCAUGCUAUAUUCCACUGUUUUCAUAACUCAGCCAUGAUUACUCUGUUUUAAUACUUAAAUGAUAUUUUGGGCUGAGAACCAUGUUUUACUGUGGCUUGUGAGGAUUUUGACUGAGUAAGGCUGAGGGCCUAUGUUGUGAGGAAACACUGAUUAUGAUUAUGAGGCCGAGAGCCUGAGAUAUAUACGCCACGAGGUGGCUUUUUGAUAUGAGGCCGAGAGCCUAGUGAUGAUGCCACGAGAUGGCUUGAUAUUAUGCUUGGGCCAUAAGUGGCCCCUCCAGGAGUCUACAUACCCCCAGAGAGCGCGAGUACCCAUUGUGAUGUGCGUUAUGGCUCGAGGGGCUGGUAUAGUUCUGAGAUAUUGCCUGAGGGGCGGAUUUGUUAAUAUUGAGCCUGAGGGGCGAACCUUUAUGUGUUUAUCUUUCGUAAUUGCCUGUCAUUUACCUUCUUAAUUGUUGAAAAGGUUUUUCACAAAGUUUAAGUUGAACUUAAAUGACUCUUACAUAUCCUUACUAAUUUACUGUUUUACUGGCUUUUACUACUUCAUUAUAGCCUGUAAUGUGACUUACGUAUUUUCAUAUCUCUCAGUCGUUUAUUUAUGAUUAUUACUCACUGAGUUGGAGUACUCACUUUACUUCCUGCACCCCGUGUGCAGAUGCAUGCAUUGUUGAUCCUGCUAGCGAGAGUUGAGAGCUCCCGGCAAACUUCGGAGUUCACGAGGUAGCUGCUUGGUGUCUGCAGUCCCGUAUUUCUCCCUCCCUUAUUUCAUUUCUUUUCCCUUAUUAAUGGGUUUGUAAUAGCUUUGUAGACUUUUCAGACUUCUGUUAAAAUUGAUAGAUGCUCGUGACUAGUGACACCUCGGUAUCGGGCUGUAUUAGGUUGUAUUCCGCAAAUUGUUUGUAUUGUCACUGCUUACUUUUUGAUUUAUAUCAUGUUUAAGACUAAACGCUUAUUUUUAAUUGCUUAAAAUGGAAUUGGAAAUGUGUUGGCUGACCUUAUCUUCACGAGAGGCGCCAUCGCAACCGGGUCCGAAUUUAUGAUCGUGACAAAAAAGAAGAAGGUUGUUCGGGCACAAAGACAGUCGGGGUUAAGUUUUAACAUAAUGCACACAUCAACUAGUAACUCAAAAUCCAUCCUCUCGUUUUCCAAUUAAGAAGCAAGCAUUCAAAACUCAAUCCAAGUGUCAAUUCAAGCUCAAGUUUCAGAAAUCAAUCCUCAAAUUCAAGGCACCUACCUUUAAAGAGGGGCAUGCAACGAGCACUCUUUUUUUUAAUCAUAUUUGAAGCAUCAUUUAGUAUAUAAAUAUUUUUAAGUGUAAUCUACAUAUUUUAUAAUUUAUUUUACUUUUUAUAGGUUUUAUUUAAGAAAAUUAAAAAUGAUAAAAAGGAGUCACAUUUCUAAAUAAGGUUUACCCUCAUUUAAAAAGAAAGAAAAGUUUUCAAAAAAUAUAUGUUUUUAAUCUAGUUUAGUUUAACUUUUAGAGAUGGAGGUUUUAAUAAGAAAAUUUUGAGUGAUUAGUAUGUUAUAUUGCUAUUCUAGUUUAGUUGGAGCAAUAUUUUUAAUUUUAUCAGCAAAAAAAAUUUCAAAAUCAUAAAAAAAAAAGAACCAAUUAAAAGUGGCUAUAUGGAAGAUUUCAUCCUAUGUACUCUAACUAAUUCACCUGCACCAAAGUUCCCCACCCAACGUCACCUAUCUUUUGGCAUUUUUCUCCAUCCGAUAAAAUUUGUUAAGUGCACCUAAAAUAUAUUCCCUCAGAGAAUGCCAAAAUAUUUUUCUUUCUCCCUAAGAAUUCUUUCUUAGGUUCUCACACUAUAUAAUAGACACACACAACACAAAAGAAAGGGGGGUGGAGAAUUAUAGAGCACACAAAAAAAAAAGAAUAGAGUAGCAGUCCCAAAAUCCUCUUUUUCCUGCAUUAAAACCCACUAAAAUCAGCCAUAAAAAUACCUUUGUUUCUCACGCCAAAACCAACUCCUUUGUUCACCUAAACAUCACCCAAAAGCUAACCUUUAACCACCACAAAAACUUGCUCAAACACAAUCCCAAAAUUAGCAACAAUGAGCUUAAAAAUAGUCACAAAAAUCAGCCAAAAACCAGCUCUCCCCACCUUAAAACAAUCCCAAAAAGUAUUGCUAAAACCACCUCUGAACUUCAGCAAAAUCCAGCCACGAAAUCCAUUAAAAAUAGCUCGUAAACACUGCUAAAACAACACCAAAAUAACCUAGAAACAACAGCUUAAACUGCUGUCAAUUGUGCCGAACAGCCAUCAAAACAACCCCUGUUUCGUACCCUUUCUCCACCACAAAUUCCACCUCACAACAACUAUGAAAUCUCAACCUUAAACACCUUGCAAAACCUAGCAGAAACAAUUUAAAAUAGCUCUCUUUUUGGAUUUAAAACAGCGUCAACAAUGGAUGUUCGAGCUUGCCGUUGAGGUCUCGAGUCGAUGGUUCCGUCUGAGGUCGUAGGCAAAUUUUCAGUUCAAGAGUUCCAUAAAUCUUUAGUUGUUGUAGUUUAAGCUGAAAGCUAAUAAAAGGUUCAGUUUUUAUCUCUUUUCUCAAUAGUAUAUUUGCUCUAGUUGCUCUUUGUCAAAUGCUCUGUUUAUUCUUGCGUUCAGAUAAAUAUUUUUUAUUUCAAUUUAUUUAAUUGAUGUGGUAUAGUGUCGUCUUGUUUGCAUUAAUAACAUAAAAUUUAGUAG
rnacentral:lncRNA from 1 species